rnacentral:rRNA from 1 species
GAGUUUGAUCCUGGCUCAGAUUGAACGCUAGCGGGAUGCUUUACACAUGCAAGUCGAACGGCAGCGCGGGUCCUCGGACCUGGCGGCGAGUGGCGAACGGGUGAGUAAUAUAUCGGAACGUGCCCAGUAGCGGGGGAUAACUACGCGAAAGCGUAGCUAAUACCGCAUACGCCCUACGGGGAAAGGGGGGAGUCGCAAGACCUCCACUAUUGGAGCGGCCGAUAUCGGAUUAGCUAGUUGGUGAGGUAAAGGACUCACCAAGGCUGCGAUCCGUAGCUGGUUUGAGAGGACGACCAGCCACACUGGGACUGAGACACGGCCCAGGACUCCUACGGGAGGCGAGCAGUGGGGAAUUUUGGACAAUGGGGGCAACCCUGAGUCCAGCCAUCCCGCGUGUGCGAUGAAGGCCUUCGGUUGU